rnacentral:rRNA from 1 species
AUUGAACGCUGGCGGCAGGCCUAACACAUGCAAGUCGAGCGGGGUGAUGGUGCUUGCACUAUAACUUAGCGGCGGACGGGUGAGUAAUGCUUCGGAAUCUGCCUAUUAGUGGGGGACAACAUCUCGAAAGGGAUGCUAAUACCGCAUACGUCCUACGGGAGAAGGCAGGGGAUCACUUGUGACCUUGCGCUAAUAGAUGAGCCUAAGUCGGAUUAGCUAGUUGGUGGGGUAAAGGCCUACCAAGGCGACGAUCUGGAGCGGGUCUGAGAGGAUGAUCCGCCACACUGGGACUGAGACACGGCCCAGACUCCUACGGGAGGCAGCAGUGGGGCAUAUUAGACAAUGGGGGGAACCCUGAUCCAGCCAUGCCGCGUGUGUGAAGAAAGCCUUAUGGUUGUAAAGCACUUUAAGCGAGGAGGAGGCUCUUUUGGUUAAUACCCAAGAUGAGUGGACGUUACUCGCAGAAUAAGCACCGGCUAACUCUGUGCCAGCAGCCGCAGUAA